GGGUCCCUACGGGGGGCAGCAGUGGGGAAUAUUGCACAAUGGGGGAAACCCUGAUGCAGCAACGCCGCGUGAAGGAAGACGGUUUUCGGAUUGUAAACUUCUGUUCUUAGUGAAGAAUAAUGACGGUAGCUAAGGAGCAAGCCACGGCUAACUACGUGCCAGCAGCCGCGGUAAUACGUAGGUGGCAAGCGUUGUCCGGAAUUACUGGGUGUAAAGGGAGCGCAGGCGGGAAGCCAAGUCAGCUGUGAAAACUACGGGCUUAACUUGUAGACUGCAGUUGAAACUGGGUUUCUUGAGUGAAGUAG
rnacentral:rRNA from 1 species